rnacentral:lncRNA from 1 species
UUGACACUCAUCGAACUCACUCUCGAUGGCUACCAGAGACCCCUCGGCUUUUUCUCCCUCGAUUUUGUUGCCCACAGGGCCCUCUAAAGCCCUUAAUGCAAGCCUAGAUCAGAGUCUGCGAUCCAAUUCAAAGUCAAAAAACCUCCCAGCCAUCGGAUCUUCACUGCCCAUAUCUCCAGCCAUCAGAUCACACAAACAAAGCCUCAUAUCAUGUUUGCUUGCUUCUUGAUAGUC